rnacentral:lncRNA from 1 species
UUUCUGGAAAUCAUAAGCAAAACUUAAACUAUUUCCCAAAGUGGAUAGGAGGUAACCACUGUUCAAUUCAUUUAAGAGAAUUCUAGGGGCCCCUGGGUGGCUCGGUCAGUUAAGCGUCUGACUUCCGGCUCAGGUCAUGAUCUCAGGGUCCUGGGAUUAAACCUUGGUUGUAGUAGCUAGGCUCUGAGCUCAGAGGGGAGUCUGCUUCUCCCUUUCCCUUUCCCUCUCCCUCUGCCCCUCCCCCUGCUUGUGCUCUCUCUAAAAUAAAAAUAAAAUAAAACGUUGGAGCACAUGGGUGACUCAGUCAGUUGAGAGUCUGAUUCUUGAUUUCGGCUCAAGUCAUGAUCUUGGGGUCCUGGGAUGAAGCCCUGCAUCGGGCUCCCUGCUCAGAGGGGUGUCUGCUUCUCCCUCUCCCUCUGUCUCCACCCCUGACUUGUGCUUGCGCUCUCUCUCUCUCUCAAAUAAAUAAAUAAAACCUAAAAAAAAUAAAUAAAAUUCUAGUAUUAGAACCAACCACUGUGAAGAAUAAAGUCAUUGCUUUCGCACUAUGGAAGCUGCUUUAUGACAAUAUCCCCCUGAGCCUGACUCCAUGUUUUGGUUUGAGUGCUCCCGGUUUGCAAACGGUCUUUUCGGCAUGGGCACUAUAAACUUUUACCAGUUACUACUUUGGUGAUUCACUGGUUUUACUUCUGUUAUUUCUGAACUUUUGACAGUAGCAUGCUCACCCCUGGAGAACUGAGAGUUGAGGAAGAAAAUGAGUCAAGGUACUUUUACCAGAAGAACAGGGAAUGGAUGAUGGGUAAGCAAAUCAAGAUAUUCCCAGAAGUGAUCUACUGUUUGGGACCGCCUGGCCUGAAGAAGAUGAACAUGCACGUCCCAGGCAAGAAGUCCGGAGACGAAGUGAUGAGCAGCUGCUUCUUCUGGAAUUAGAAUCCAGGAGCUGAUCAUGUCAUAGCAUCUCAAAAACUCUUUAGAAGUCACCGAAAGGACUGAACGUAAUCAGCAAAGAUGUUGCUGCAGGAGUACGAACAGGAAUAGGAGUCAUUUUCCCCGGGAACAGAAGGCUACGAAGACUGGGUCUCAGAACACUUGCCUUGCUGUUAGCAUGCUGCGGGGCAGGAAUGGCUCCCAGCUGCCAUCCACCAAAGCCGUCCUACUGGUGAUCUCUUUCUCUCAUGUGGCCUGAAUCCUCUCUGGCCACUGGCCUGUCCUACUGGCCGUUUAGAAUUACAGGUAUCCCCUGCUUUUUGAAAAUUCAUGUUAUGCCACUUUGCUUUUACAAAAGACCUACAUUAGUACCUGUUUUAGAUAACCAAAAGAAAUCCAGAGGAUUUUUUUUUUCGCUUUUAAGAAAAAAAGGCCAAAACGGAAGAUAGUGUUUGUUCUGCAGCCAGCCGUUAUAGAGGUAGCGUGCACCUGACCCCGAGAAUGGCCCCUCCGAGUUCCUUCCCUGCGGACUCACUCAGCAUCUCAGCAUCAAGCCCCAUAGCUUGAACUGUGUCUGUGAGCAUCUGUGCUUUAUUCUGAUUUACGUAUCCGUUAACAAGAUGUGUCCUGAGGUAUCAGAAAAUUUAGGUUAUUUUUGGGGUCUGGGAAUGCUCAAAAAUGUUUUCCAUAUAAAUUAAUGGCAAUCACUUCCUGUUUUACAUCAUUUUGGCUUAAGAAAGGUUCCUUAGGAAACCUGUACUGAGCCCUUCUCCAGAAAUCACAUUAAUUCUGAAGAUCUUCCCUUCUAACAUGUGUGUAGCUGGAAAUAUUUAAAGCUUCAAGCACAGUUAAAAUGAAAAGCGUAAGCAAGUCUGUGUAUUCUGAAGCUCUGACUCUCCGAUGACCUGAGGAGUAGAUGGUCUCUGCCAUGAGUAUGGGACGCCCUGCAGCCACCUGUGUGUGCUAAGUGACAGUGGCCCACAAAUGGAAGAACACAUCAGUG